AACGAACGCUGGCGGCAUGCCUAACACAUGCAAGUCGAACGGCAACAUGUUAUUAGUUUACUAUUAAUGAUGGCGAGUGGCGAACGGGUGAGUAACGCGUAGGAAUAUGUCUUAAAGAGUGGGACAACUUGGGGAAACUCAAGCUAAUACCGCAUAAUCUCUUAGGAGGAAAGCUGGGGACCGUAAGGCCUGGCGCUUUA
rnacentral:rRNA from 1 species